GAGUCGUUAACAAGGUUUCCGUAGGUCGAACCUGCGGAAGGAUCAUUAAAGAAUUAGGCUUCGCGGCCAAGUUCUCACCCUUUGUAACCGAAACCAUGUUGCUUUGGCAGGCCCCUGCAUUUCUCGGGCCCGCCAGAGGUUUAUAAAACCCCUAGAAUCUCUGCUGUCUGAGUACUAUACAAUAGUUAAAA
rnacentral:misc_RNA from 1 species